GAAUGUUCCUGUGUAUUUGAAGAUCUUACAGGCCUUCUAAAGGGCAAGUCUGCACAUGAACCGCAUCAAUCUUGUGCUUUGUUUCCUUUCUCCACUCUGUUUUAAUUUGUGGAGGACCUUGGCUCUGCUGCUUAACAUUGGAAUGUGGGAAGAUUUUUCAACUGGGAAAAAAGGAGAUGCAUAACUUUGCUCAUAACUCAUUCAAGAGGUGCCCUUUAGCAUCAACAAGGAUCAUGGAAACAGUCAUUAGUGAGUCUGCAGUUGGGACAGCACUCUUGUCACAGCAGUGGCACUUCAGUAUUCCUGUUUCCAGCCUGGAAGUCUCUACAUCCCCCAGCAAGGACCUGGAAGCCACUGUGUAGGUGUUUUACAAACAUAAAGCUGCUGGAUGUCUGCGAGUACACUCUGCUCUUUGCUGUUCUACCAUCUUGUGGAGAAAAUGUAUUGCAGUAACUGGUUUGACAAGAACACCACAGAACUUCUGAAGUACUUUAUGAGGAGGCCCUAUUUCCUGUCUCCUGUAGCAUUCCCAGUGAGGUGGAGGCUAACCAGUGUUGUAGAUAGCUUAGUCUUCAGCCCAUGGCACAGCUGGGAGUUGAUGUAAAGAAGCGACCUUACAAAAGUAUGCCUUUCUGCCGUACAUCUACAAUAUUCCCAUUAGCAGCCUUCUAGCUAUUUAUUCUGCUUUGAACUGAAUUGUAUUUGUCAUGGCUCCUCUCUACAGCCAGUUCUUAUGAUGGAGAGAAAUAGUGGAUAUAUAUAUAUAUUUUUUUUUUUAAAGGAGCUUUGCUAAGAUCUAAGCCAAUAUGCUAAGAACACCCUUGGGCUGUUUUUAAAGUAUAUUUGGACUGGAAUAUUCUAAAAUGCUGCUGGCAAUGAUCAAGUACCCACAGUUUUUAUUCUUUAAUUGUAUUUAAUUGAAUUUCAACAAGAAUUGAUCAGACUGUAAAGGGAAUGCUGCAAAAUGUAGACAGAAUUGUAGUUACCCAAGGUGCUUCCCCCCAAAAAACAGUGCCUGCCCCUUCCUGUGGUAGUGUCUACGCUUGCAUUCUCUGAAUUCAGUGCUUGGGCUGAAAGAAUGAGUGGAAACUCCAGCUCAAGAGGAAAUGCAGAAUAUUUAAGGAAGGAAAAAAGGGUUCUGAGCUUCUCUUCUCUGAAAGUUGUCAUUACAACUGAAAUAGAAAUCAUUAACGCACUUUGGUAGAGAAACAGCUCAGUAAUUACCAGUCAACUAGCAAAGUAACAGUAUGUAAAAUGGGAAUGUGAAAGCAUAGGAAAUGAUGAUUACUCUUUAGUGCUAUUUAGGGAAUAUUUCACACAAGUGAAUAGAGGAUAUGGGAACAUGAGACAUGGUGAAGUUAGAAGGAAGUUCUCACUAGAAGUAAGCCAUGGGGUCUCUGUGUGUUGUGUAAUACUUUGAGUUUUUUUCUGAACAUUUACUUUCCAGUUUGCUUGCAAGGUUUCAAGUUAGAUGUCCAUUAAAGCAUCAUCUUAAUAAAGGUCCUCCUGUAUUCUGUA